GCCACUCGCCUCUCGUCUCUCCUGUGCCUUCCUCGGCUUUAAGCGUUCCACAUGGCGGAUGAUUAAUCAGCAAGCACAAGCGACUAAUGCACUUAGUGAACAGGGCUAUGACAUUAAAACUUAAGUGUUGCCCGCACUUAAUUUAAAAUGCAUGUUAAAAUGCCAUUAAGUUCAAGCAGGAAGUGCCGAUACCGGGGCUACUACUGUUCUUGAUGAUGUACUGACCCGGUACCAGGGGGCAUCUCGUGCGGGGGCAUUCCGUGCGCGUUUAUUGAACUCUGGAUAUGUCGGAUAGGGGACACUGGGACAAAGGCAAUUGCAGGAGUGGCUUCAUCAUCAUAUCAUACGCAUGCAGCCAAGCGUUGCAUAUAAAUUGCCAAAAAUUAUGGAAAUUUGAUGCCUUAACAGGUAGCACUAAUUAUAGGGUUCACAGCUCAUCUGACUAAUUACGAAGUUGUUUUUUUGUGGCAUUUGUAAGCCAGAUGGACUCUGCACUUGAACCCACCGCAGUACACCGGACACAGCACUCCACCCAACGGACACAUCUCUACCCG
rnacentral:lncRNA from 1 species